rnacentral:tmRNA from 1 species
CCAGGAGAAGCGGGUCGAGAAGCCAGCGUCAUCUCGUAAACGUUCGCUGGAAACCAUAAGUGCCAACGCAAAGCGCACUGACUUCGCUCUCGCUGCCUGAGCAGUGAUCGAAGGGUCGGACCGGGCAUCCGUCUCCGUCCCGGACCCCGGCCUCAGCUAGGAGACUUGCUGGUCAACCACUGUCACGAGGGUUGAUCGGGACUUCAUCGUGACUGAGCCUGCCGGCGACCUGUUCGUGGGAGUGCCGGGGCUGAGAAAGCGACCUCACGAACUGCACCCGGAGAAGACCUGGUUCGACGCUUCAGGACGCGGGUUCGAUUCCCGCCAGCUCCACUC